UCUAGUGAUGAUGGCGAAGAGGUCACACCCGUUCCCAUGCCGAACACGGAAGUUAAGCUCUUCAGCGCCGAUGGUAGUUGGGGGGAUCUCCCCCUGCAAGAGUAGGACGUCGCUAGGC
rnacentral:rRNA from 1 species